AUGCUCACUAAAGCAGCAGCCAUACUAAUAUUGGAACAAUAAAAGCAAGGUUAUCUUUGUCCCUACCCAAAGGUGAUACACAAACUCAUGAAGCAUUCUGUGUUUAA
rnacentral:snRNA from 14 species